rnacentral:rRNA from 1 species
UACGUAGGGUGCAAGCGUUAAUCGGAAUUACUGGGCGUAAAGCGUGCGCAGGCGGUGUGUAAGACAGAUGUGAAAUCCCCGGGCUCAACCUGGGAACUGCAUUUGUGACUGCACGGCUGGAGUGCGGCAGAGGGGGAUGGAAUUCCGCGUGUAGCAGUGAAAUGCGUAGAUAUGUGGAGGAACACCGAUGGCGAAGGCACCUCCGGUGGCGACAUCAUGACGCUCAUGCACGAAAGCGUGGGGAGCAAACAGG